rnacentral:rRNA from 1 species
GAGUUUGAUCCUGGCUCAGGGUGAACGCUGGCGGCGUGCUUAACACAUGCAAGUCGAACGGACUUAAGGGGCUUGCUUCUUAAGUUAGUGGCGCACGGGUGAGUAAUAUAUAGCUAACCUGCCCUUUAGUGGGGGACAACAGUUGGAAACGACUGCUAAUACCCUAUACUCCUUCUUACUAUAAGGUAAGUUGGGAAAGAUUUAUCGCUAAAGGAUGGGGCUUUAUUGUAUCAGCUAGUUGGUGGGGUAAUGGCCUACCAAGGCUAUGACGCAUACCUGGUCUGAGAGGAUGAUCAGGCACACUGGAACUGAGACACGGUCCAGGCUCCUACGGGAGGCAGCAGUGGGGAAUAUUGCACAAUGGAGGAAACUCUGAUGCAGCAACGCCGCGUGGAGGAUGACGCAUUUCGGUGUGUAAACUCCUUUUAUAGGGGAAGAUAAUGACGGUACCCUAUGAAUAAGCACCGGCUAACUCCGUGCCAGCAGCCGCGGUAAUACGGAGGGUGCAAGCGUUACUCGGAAUCACUGGGCGUAAAGGAUGCGUAGGCUGGAAAUCAAGUCGAGAGUGAAAUCCAACGGCUCAACCGUUGAACUGCUCUCGAAACUGGUUACCUAGAAUAUGGGAGAGGUAGAUGGAAUUAGUGGUGUAGGGGUAAAAUCCGU